rnacentral:lncRNA from 1 species
AUAUAGUCUAAUAUACUAUCUAUAGUACCGGGGCUGCGGUACUAUAAUCCUGUUUUUUGAUCUUAGGGUGUUCAAAUCAAUGAUCCACACCGUUAAAACUAAUCUAGGGUAUUUAAAGUUUUUAGAAAUAAAAUUUUAUAUUUUUUCGACAUAGUUUAUUUUAUAGUCAAACGAUUUCAAAAUUUUUAAUUUUCAAUGACUACUAUGGCGAGUUUGGAGUUUAACUGUGUAGAAGAAUCUAAAUUUUCUCAAAUUUUGAUAGAAAAUACUUUAAACUAUCUAGAUUAAGGUUAACAUUCUUGAUCUUGAAUUAGGAUGUGUGGUUAGGAUGAUAGUGGUCCCCAUUUAGAAUGAUAGUGGUCCUCUAGGGUUGAGUGGGUAGUUGGUUUAAUAGUAUGAUCUAAUGGGUGAAAAUGAUCAAUGGAAUAAAUGUAAGAGCUAAAAACUUAUAAUUAUAAGGGAACCAAUACUCAUAAAAAUAUAGUAGCUAUAUACAUAUAUAUACAUAUGUAUAUAUAUACAUAUGUAUAUGUAU